UGCCUGUGAUGAGGAUAUGGUUUCGUGUAAUUUAUGACUAUCAGUGAUUACAUAUAUACCUCUACUGCCUUCCUUCUGAGGCU
rfam:Prunus persica cultivar Lovell chromosome G7, whole genome shotgun sequence.